CUCAUACACGACAUCAUUUCGUUACUGUCCAUACCAGUGCUCAGCAAUGUUAUUCUUAUCCUCACAGCCCCUUCUGAAGCGUCUCACGCCUCUUGCCAGCGUCACACGGCACUGCGGGAGCGGCGUUCCAGCCACCGCCGCGCAUGACGGUGCUCGCAGGGACUUUGUCAUUCCUUAAGCACCGUGAGGAAUGUGUCUUGGCUUUGGGAAAAUUCGGUGAACGGGACCGGGAGGAAGGUCUGUGGGCUCAACACCAUGCAUGCACCGCGGGAUCAGGGAGAUGGAAUGGUGUGAUAGCUGCCGCUACCUGUUUGUUCGUCUCUCUUUU